UUUAGUCUGGGAUAGCCAUUGGAAACGAUGAUUAAUACUAGAUACUCCCUACGGGGGAAAGAAUUUCGCUAAAGGAUUGGUCUAUGUCCUAUCAGCUUGUUGGUCACGCAAUGGCUCACCAAGGCUAUGACGGGUAUCCGGCCUGAGAGGGUGAACGGACACACUGGAACUGAGACACCGUCCAGACUCCUACGGGAGGCAGCAGUAGGGAAUAUUGCUCAAUGGGGGGAACCCUGAAGCAGCAACGCCGCGUGGAGGA
rnacentral:rRNA from 1 species